UGAGUAACACGUGGGUAACCUGCCUCAUAGAGGGGGAUAGCCUCCCGAAAGGGAGAUUAAUACCGCAUAAUGUAUUUUGUUCGCAUGAAUAAAAUAUCAAAGGAGUAAUCCACUAUGAGAUGGACCCGCGGCGCAUUAGCUAGUUGGUGAGGUAACGGCUCACCAAGGCGACGAUGCGUAGCCGACCUGAGAGGGUGAUCGGCCACAUUGGAACUGAGACACGGUCCAGACCCCUACGGGAGGCAGCAGUGGGGAAUAUUGCGCAAUGGGGGAAACCCUGACGCAGCAACGCCGCGUGAAUGAUGAAGGCCUUAGGGUUGUAAAGUUCUGUCUUCUGGGACGAUAAUGACGGUACCAGAGGAGGAAGCCACGGCUAACUACGUGCCAGCAGCCGCGGUAAUACGUAGGUGGCAAGCGUUGUCCGGAUUUACUGGGCGUAAAGGAUGCGUAGGCGGAUAUUUAAGUCAGAUGUGAAAUACCCGGGCUCAACUUGGGUGCUGCAUUUGAAACUGGAUAUCUAGAGUGCGGGAGAGGUAAGUGGAAUUCCUAGUGUAGCGGUGAAAUGCGUAGAGAUUAGGAAGAACACCAGUGGCGAAGGCGACUUACUGGACCGUAACUGACGCUGAGGCAUGAAAGCGUGGGGAGCAAACAGGAUUAGAUACCCUGGUAGUCCACGCCAUAAACGAUGAAUACUAGGUGU
rnacentral:rRNA from 1 species